AACAAAGGACAGAAACAUGUAAAGAGCAAGAGAAAAGAAGAUGCGGGCCCUAAUCCCUGGAAAAACUCCAUAGAACUCUUAAGCAAUGGGACCAAAAGGGUCUUAGACAAAGUAAACCCAGGAUCUGCCAGCUGUCGAAGGCUCAGAAAUCCUGAAACAAGUCUCUGAAGUCAGAAUCAGGUCUCUGUCAACAAAAGACUGUCUCUAGAUGAACACAAGACACUGUAAGGCAGCUGUUCUCAAACUAGAAAUUGGAAGCUGUUGAUGAAAGAAUC
rnacentral:lncRNA from 1 species